rnacentral:rRNA from 1 species
CCCUUAGAUGUUCUGGGCCGCACGCGCGCUACACUGAUGCAUUCAACGAGUUUCUUCCUGGUCCGAGAGGAAUGGGUAACCUUUUGAAAGUGCAUCGUGAUAGGGAUAGACUAUUGCAAUUAUUGGUCUCCAACGAGGAAUUCCUAGUAGACGUAGUUCAUCAGACUGCAUCGAUUACGUCCCUGCCCUUUGUACACACCGCCCGUCGCUCCUACCGAUUGAAUGCUCAGGUGAGCCAUUCGGACUUUCAUCAUGCUGGUUUCCAGUUUUGAUGAAGGAAAGUCUUGUGAACCUUAUCAUUUAGAGGAAGGAGAAGUCGUAACA